rnacentral:pre_miRNA from 1 species
AAUGUACUCCAUCCGUCCCAAAAUUUUUAUCUUAGAUUUUUCUAGAUAUGAAUGUAUCUAGUCACACUUUAAUAUUUAGAUACAAUCAUUUUUAGACAAAACUAAGACAAGAAUUUUGGGUCCGAGGGAGUAUAUG